rnacentral:lncRNA from 1 species
CACUCUGACAGUGCACUUAUCUGAAUUCAACCUCAGUUUGAAUUGUCUCAAACCGGUCAACCGACUUGCCCCGGUCAGCCAGAUGCCCCACUUCCGCAUGGGACUUUGCUAUCAUGUCAUCAACAUAGCAAUUGAUUCCACGAUGAAUCAUAUCAUGAAACAAAGUCACCACGGCUCUCUGAUAAGUAGCACCGGCGUUUCGCCUCUCUGGAGGACAGUCUCCU